rnacentral:rRNA from 1 species
ACCGUGAAACUGCGAAUGGCUCAUUAAAUCAGUUAUCGUUUAUUUGAUAGUACCUUACUACUUGGAUACCUGUGGUAAUUCUAGAGCUAAUACAUGCUAAAAACCCCGACUUCGGGAGGGGUGUGUUUAUUAGAUAAAAAACCAAUGCCCUUCGGGGCUCCUUUGGUGAUUCAUGAUAACCUAACGGAUCGCAUGGCCUUGCGCCGGCGACGGUUCAUUCAAAUUUCUGCCCUAUCAACUUUCGAUGGUAAGGUCUUGGCUUACCAUGGUUUCAACGGGUAACGGGGAGUUAGGGCUCGACUCCGGAGAAGGAGCCUGAGAAACGGCUACUACAUCCAAGGAAGGCAGCAGGCGCGCAAAUUACCCAAUCCCGACACGGGGAGGUAGUGACAAUAAAUACUGAUACAGGGCUCUUUUGGGUCUUGUAAUCGGAAUGAGUACAAUUUAAAUCCCUUAACGAGGAACAAUUGGAGGGCAAGUCUGGUGCCAGCAGCCGCGGUAAUUCCAGCUCCAAUAGCGUAUAUUAAAGUUGUUGCAGUUAAAAAGCUCGUAGUUGAACCUUGGGCCUGGCUGGCCGGUCCGCCUCACCGCGUGUACUGGUCCGGCCGGGCCUUUCUUUCUGGGGAGUCGCAUGCCCUUCACUGGGUGUGUCGGCGGACCAGGACUUUUACUGUGAACAAAUUAGAGUGUUCAAAGCAGGCCUUUGCUCGAAUACAUUAGCAUGGAAUAAUAGAAUAGGACGUGCGGUCCUAUUUUGUUGGUUUCUAGGAUCGCCGUAAUGAUUAAUAGGCUCAGUCGGGGGCAUCAGUAUUCAAUUGUCAGAGGUGAAAUUCUUGGAUUUAUUGAAGACUAACUACUGCGAAAGCAUUUGCCAAGGAUGUUUUCAUUAAUCAGUGAACGAAAGUUAGGGGAUCGAAGACGAUCAGAUACCGUCGUAGUCUUAACCGUAAACUAUGCCGACUAGGGAUCGGGCGAUGUUUCUAUCUUGACUCGCUCGGCACCUUACGAGAAAUCAAAGUUUGUGGCUCUGGGG